ACAAGAACGGGGAUGAUGGUGAAGUCCCUGCAGAUACUGUGUUCCGGAAUUGGUCGUCGUCACCGACGUCA
rnacentral:ribozyme from 1 species